rnacentral:miRNA from 1 species
UAGAUCCUGAGAAUCUUCCGU